rnacentral:rRNA from 1 species
UACAGAGGUGGCAAGCGUUGUUCGGAAUUACUGGGCGUAAAGGGCGCGUAGGCGGCCCACUAAGUCAGACGUGAAAUCCCCCGGCUUAACCUGGGAACUGCGUCUGAUACUGGAGGGCUUGAGUAUGGGAGAGGGAUGUAGAAUUCCAGGUGUAGCGGUGAAAUGCGUAGAUAUCUGGAGGAAUACCGGUGGCGAAGGCGGCUCACUGGCCCGGUACUGACGCUGAGGUGCGAAAGCGUGGGGAGCAAACAGG